rnacentral:rRNA from 1 species
CCUACGGGAGGCAGCAGUGGGGAAUAUUGCACAAUGGGGGAAACCCUGCUGCAGCGACGCCGCGUGAGCGAUGAAGUAUUUCGGUAUGUAAAGCUCUAUCAGCAGGGAAGAAAAUGCAUAUAAGUAACUGUGUAUGUAUUGACGGUACCUGUAUAAGCAGCCCCGGCUAACUCCGUGCCAGCAGCCGCUGUAAUACGGAGGGGGCGAGCGUUGUUCGGAGUGACUGGGCGUAAAGAGCACGUAGGCGGUGUUGUAAGUCAUUAGUCAAAGACUAGAGCUCAACUUUAGUAAGGCUAGUGAUACUAUAAUACUAGAGUAUCAGAGAGGAUUGCAGAAUUCCUGGUGUAGCGGUGAAAGGCGUAGAUAUCAGGAGGAAUACCGUUAGCGAAGGCGGCAAUCUGGCUGGAAACUGACGCUGAGGUGCGAAAGCGUGGGUAGCAAACAGGAUUAGAUACCCUUGUAGUC